rnacentral:miRNA from 14 species
ACCCAAAAUGGGGCUCUCUCU